AGAAACUAUCACGCUGGGAAAAGAAAAAAAAAAAGAUCCAAGUCAGGCCUUCAGGGCACUUACAGUCCCAAACAGCCCAGCAAACCGGAAGUCAUGUGGCAGAAAGCAGUUACUUCUUCUGCCCUGGAGAUGCUUGAAGACCUAGCAGGAAACAGGAACCAGUGUUCUGGCUGCUGACGAUUUUGGCUCUGGGGCAUUAAUGAAGCGCGCUGUCUGCGGGAAAAGGACACGAUUGGGCAGCCAUGAUGAUGACCAGGCCAGAGGAGUGAGCUACUCCUCCUCCGAGAAGCCCUCCAGGAUCACUUCGGGCCAGUGGUUUACAAAUUGGGGGCCCUUCCGAAUCACCUAGGAAGGUGAGAAGUUUGUUUGUUUGUUCUUGUUGUUGUUGUUUGAAUGUUCUUAUUGAUUUCAGA